GACCGAGUGCGCGAGCGGACAUGACGUGUGGCUGUCGUAAAAACCCUAUUUGUAAACAACCAGCCCUUUAACUCGGGGCUGCGUCAUAAACACGGCGCGCUUGGAAGACCACGAUGUCAUCUUCCUUCUGUCAGGAGGAUCCAAGUGAAGCUACAGGAGUUUCAUUAACAUCAACAACUUGGACCAAACAGUUUGUUUUGCUUGAUGAAGAGCAGGAAGGGCAGCCUGGAGAGAAAGAGAAGCCGGGUUGAGCCCACUACCAUCAUCCAUGUACCACGAGGAAGAUGAGGGAGAGAAAUGAUCCUACCAUUAAAGAGACUGUGAAAAGAACGUUGAGAACAUCACCACUCUACAGGAAGACACAGUCCAGUAAUGGGUGUCAGAAGUUCAGUAGUGAACGACAGGUACUGUGGAAAAAUAUGUGUCAUUGUUGUACAAUGUCCUUUGACUCUGUUUAAACAAGGUUAACACAAAAAGGUUUGAUUGUAAACUGAUAUCGGUAUGAAUUCAUGUUAUUCUCCUCGUCAAAAGAAACAAACAAUCCAAAUUACCUGCAGAAAGCCCUUGAUGGACGCUUCAGCUGCAUCGUCAGACUGGCAGUACUGAUGCAUUUACUGAGAGGGGACGUGAGGGCCUACUCUGCGUGCUCAGAGUUCAAGCCCAGCAGGCUGCAGCGGGCCUGACAUAUUCUGGAACAGCAGCACAGUCUUUGGAUGACUCCUCUGAAGAUGAAAACAUGGCGAGAUGGUUCCCUCUGAUUUUUUUUUAACAUAAACGUCAGACAGGCCACUAAAAACUAAAAAUGCUGAAGCUAACAGCUACCACACAGCAAGCUAAUGCCUUCCUAAGGCUGCCAGGGAGUAGCAUGAGUAGCCUUGUAGCAAGAGAGUGUAGCUAAUCACAGCCCUCACAGUUCUUCAUCAGUGGAGAAGUACCUCGCCAUGUUUUCAUCUUCAGAGGAGUCAUCCAAAGACUGUGCUGCUGUUCCAGAAUAUGUCAGGCCCGCUGCAGCCUGCUGGGCUUGAACUCUGAGC